rnacentral:rRNA from 1 species
GACAGAGGUCCCAAGCGUUAGGCGGAAUCACUGGGCUUAAAGCGUGUGUAGGCGGAUCCGUAAGUACCUUGUGAAAUCCCACGGCUCAACCGUGGAACUGCUGGGUAUACUGCGGGUCUUGAGCCACCUAGGGGCGAGCGGAACAAGUGGUGGAGCGGUGAAAUGCGUAGAUAUCACUUGGAACGCCAAAGGUGAAAACAGGUUGCUGGGAAUGUGCCGACGCUGAGACACGAAAGCCAGGGGAGCAAACGGG